GAUGAACGCUGGCGGCGUGCCUAAUACAUGCAAGUCGAGCGAACAGACGAGGAGCUUGCUCCUCUGACGUUAGCGGCGGACGGGUGAGUAACACGUGGAUAACCUACCUAUAAGACUGGGAUAACUUCGGGAAACCGGAGCUAAUACCGGAUAAUAUAUUGAACCGCAUGGUUCAAUAGUGAAAGACGGUUUUGCUGUCACUUAUAGAUGGAUCCGCGCCGCAUUAGCUAGUUGGUAAGGUAACAGCUUACCAAGGCAACGAUGCGUAGCCGACCUGAGAGGGUGAUCGGCCACACUGGAACUGAGACACGGUCCAGACUCCUACGGGAGGCAGCAGUAGGGAAUCUUCCGCAAUGGGCGAAAGCCUGACGGAGCAACGCCGCGUGAGUGAUGAAGGUCUUCGGAUCGUAAAACUCUGUUAUUAGGGAAGAACAAAUGUGUAAGUAACUAUGCACGUCUUGACAGUACCUAAUCAGAAAGCCACGGCUAGCUACGUG
rnacentral:rRNA from 1 species